GAUGAACGCUGGCGGCGUGCCUAAUACAUGCAAGUCGAGCGAACGGACGAGAAGCUUGCUUCUCUGAUGUUAGCGGCGGACGGGUGAGUAACACGUGGAUAACCUACCUAUAAGACUGGGAUAACUUCGGGAAACCGGAGCUAAUACCGGAUAAUAUUUUGAACCGCAUGGUUCAAAAGUGAAAGACGGUCUUGCUGUCACUUAUAGAUGGAUCCGCGCUGCAUUAGCUAGUUGGUAGGUAACGGCUUACCAAGGCAACGAUGCAUAGCCGACCUGAGAGGGUGAUCGGCCACACUGGAACUGAGACACGGUCCAGACUCCUACGGGAGGCAGCAGUAGGGAAUCUUCCGCAAUGGGCGAAAGCCUGACGGAGCAACGCCGCGUUAGUGAUGAAGGUCUUCGGAUCGUAAAACUCUGUUAUUAGGGAAGAACAUAUGUGUAAGUAACUGUGCACAUCUUGACGGUACCUAAUCAGAAAGCCACGGCUAACUACGUG
rnacentral:rRNA from 1 species